rnacentral:rRNA from 1 species
UACGAAGGGGGCUAGCGUUGCUCGGAAUCACUGGGCGUAAAGCGCACGUAGGCGGAUUGUUAAGUCAGGGGUGAAAUCCUGGAGCUCAACUCCAGAACUGCCUUUGAUACUGGCGAUCUCGAGUCCGGGAAAGGUGAGUGGAACUGCGAGUGUAGAGGUGAAAUUCGUAGAUAUUCGCAAGAACACCAGUGGCGAAGGCGGCUCACUGGCCCGGUACUGACGCUGAGGUGCGAAAGCGUGGGGAGCAAACAGG